CCACUCCCAGAGCCGCUGCCCACAUAGGGACCCGCAGCCAGCAAGCAAACGCCCCGGGCGGAGGGAGCCUUUUCCACACUGCUGCCUGGGACUGGAGAACGCUUGAGAGGCCUGCCAGAACCACGCGCCAGGCUGCCCUGCUCCUCGGCCCCCUGCAGGCUCCGGCUGUACCCCACCCGUCCCACUGUUUUUCUCUGGCAGACCCAGGGCUGGGCUGUGCCCGGCAGGCAAAGAGCGGAAAGUGGGGGUGCUCACCCUUUCCACCCCGCAGGCUCCUGCAGGUUUUGGUCACUGAGAUAAUAUCCGAAGGACAGAGAAGGAGAGGGAAAGCAGAGAGAGCAUGGAGGGUCUUGCUCUGUUACCAGGAUGGAGUGAAAUAGAACAGUCUAGGCUCAUUGCAACCUCUGCCGCCUGCACUCAAGUGAUCCUCCCACCUCAGCCUCCCAAGCAGCUGCUCACUUUGGCCUCCUAAAGUGAUGGGAUUACAGAUGUGAGCCAUUGUACCCAGCCCUGGUAAGUUUUCAAUAAUGAGUAAAUGACUCUGGAUGUCUGAGCCUUGCUUAUCCACCCCCUCACAUUGGUCCUCUUCAUUUUCGGGGUCAUAACUGGGGAGAAGAUUUUAUAGAUGCUUUGAAGGAAAGUCAGCAGGUCUGGAGUAUGAUGAAAUCCCAUCUCUCUGUUCCUUUUCUCUUGUGAUUUGAUACCAUGAAAGGUAGAUGACAUCUGCAAAGGCAUCUGUCUCAUUUCUACGCAGUUCUGGUUGCUAACAGUUUCUUCCUUAAAAUCUGGGUCUAGUAUUUGCUGAUUACUGC
rnacentral:lncRNA from 13 species